rnacentral:rRNA from 1 species
UGGGGAAUAUUGCACAAUGGGCGCAAGCCUGAUGCAGCCAUGCCGCGUGUAUGAAGAAGGCCUUCGGGUUGUAAAGUACUUUCAGCGGGGAGGAAGGUGUUGAGGUUAAUAACCUCAGCAAUUGACGUUACCCGCAGAAGAAGCACCGGCUAACUCCGUGCCAGCAGCCGCGGUAAUACGGAGGGUGCCAGCGUUAAUCGGAAUUACUGGGCGUAAAGCGCACGCAGGCGGUCUGUCAAGUCGGAUGUGAAAUCCCCGGGCUCAACCUGGGAACUGCAUUCGAAACUGGCAGGCUAGAGUCUUGUAGAGGGGGGUAGAAUUCCAGGUGUAGCGGUGAAAUGCGUAGAGAUCUGGAGGAAUACCGGUGGCGAAGGCGGCCCCCUGGACAAAGACUGACGCUCAGGUGCGAAAGCGUGGGGAGCAAACA